rnacentral:lncRNA from 1 species
CUGUUUUGCCGCGUGCCGUGUGCGCGAGCGCGCGGGACUUCAGCAACUCCCUCGGAGUGGCUGCGCAUCCUGCAGUGAUGAUCAUCUCUUGAGCACUGCCGUGGACGAGGUCUCUCAUCUUCCAGUAGCAGGCUCAGAGAGAUCGUCGCAUCCGAGGGCACCCACCUGGCCAGUGGCCUGUUCUGGAGACUAGUCCUGGGCGCUUAGAACUUGAGUGACUCUUAGACUUCUUCCAUGAACUGAGUUACAGAAGAUUGUCCCUGAGCUAACAUCUGUUCCAGUCUUCCUCUAUUUGAAUGUGGGACACCACCACAACAUGGCUUGAUGAGUGGUGUGUAGGCCCAUGCCUGUGAUCUGAACCUGUGAACCCUGGGCCACUGAAGUGAAGUGUGAGAAGUUAACCACUACGCCACCAGGUCAGCCCCA